UACGUAGGGACCAAGCGUUGUUCGGAUUUACUGGGCGUAAAGGGCGCGUAGGCGGCGCUGUAAGUCACUUGUGAAAUCUCUGAGCUUAACUCAGAACGGCCAAGUGAUACUGCAGUGCUAGAGUGCAGAAGGGGCAAUCGGGAAUUCUUGGUGUAGCGGUGAAAUGCGUAGAUAUCAAGAGGAACACCUGAGGUGAAGACGGGUUGCUGGGCUGACACUGACGCUGAGGCGCGAAAGCCAGGGGAGCAAACGGG
rnacentral:rRNA from 1 species